rnacentral:rRNA from 1 species
UACAGAGGUGGCAAGCGUUGUUCGGAAUUACUGGGCGUAAAGGGCGCGUAGGCGGCCUUCUUAGUCGGACGUGAAAUCCCCAGGCUUAACUUGGGAACUGCGUCCGAUACUGGAGGGCUCGAGUGCGGGAGAGGGAUGUGGAAUUCCAGGUGUAGCGGUGAAAUGCGUAGAUAUCUGGAGGAACACCGGUGGCGAAGGCGGCCUUCUGGACGGUGACUGACGCUGAGACGCGAAAGCGUGGGGAGCAAACAGG